ensembl:snoRNA SNORD10 Small nucleolar RNA SNORD10
GUAUAAUGAUGAUAACCAUGCGUGUCAGCUGACUCUGUAACCCUCUGCUGUCUUGUUGCUGUGGUCGGCGUUUUGUUGGCCAGAGUUUUCAUCACAGCAGAGCUGCAGAGACGUGAUCAUAUUUCACUACUUCUGAAUAC